rnacentral:lncRNA from 1 species
GGCUAUGCCUCAAUUGAUAAAGUGAACUAAUUGCCUACUUCAAAAGCAGUUUUGCAUGAAAGUCAACAUCUAAUUGGAAUUUACAAUGCCCGAUAUUUCUACACAUCUGCCACAAAUUUUAUGGAAAACAAUAUUUAUAGAAACUGAACAUACUUUGGUUAAACGUAUAUGAAAUGGGUAACCAUCCUCGAAGAAUAUCAACCAGCUGUCGGCAAUGUGCAGGUGGACUGAGGAAUUUUCCAGUGUAUCCUUUAUGGACUGUACUCCGUUUUAGCACUAUCCUCAAGUUUUACCCGAGAGGCCAUGCUUCAGGUUGGACCGUCUUCCAUAUAUCUACUGACUUCAUAUAAAUGAAAGUGUACUAAAGGCUCACUGAUCUACACUACCAGCUCAUGCUCAACGUUACUGAACAACAAAGUAAUCCGACAAUCAGACUGGACCCGGUCAUGUUAGAUACCAGAGGAAGACGAAAAUAUAAUUGAUUCUGUACUGAUGCACGACCUCGCCCGGAACGCGGCAAGAAUUAACAAUGAAAGAAAAUACUACAGACGUGUUUAUUAACAAUAAAGUUAUUUUUGUUUUUAUGAAAUAGCGAUUGAAUAAAAAUAUUAGGUAUA